UCCCACACCUCCUCUAUAAUCCAUUGACGUGUCAAUUUGAUAUAUGUCCGUACAAUAUCCAAUAUUUUUGAGUCAUCAACUUUGGGGCUUUUUGUCUAAAAGUCACUUAUUACUUACAUUAUUGAGACUUCCAUGUGUUAACCAAGUAGAAUAUAAGAGCAAACUAGUUAAUAAUGUGUACCCCAUAUUCGAACACCUUAAUUAAGAGCUAAGCAAUAGGCAAACUUUAUAUCUCCCCUACAUAGUCUUGAUAAAAUGCAUAGAUCAUACUAUAUGUUUUGUUUCUUGGUACUAAUAUUUUUUAUGUUGUAGGGAGUACUUUGUGAAGACUCACAUGGAUGGCAAUGAACUUGAAGGUACAUUAUUUUGUUGUUCGAUAUUUAUAUUGAGAAUUUGUCCGAUAUAAAUUCAUAUUCUCUAAGGACUAGUCCAUCAAUUAAAGAGAAAAGUGCUUCCAACAGGAAGAAUUUUUUCCAUAUCCGAGAUUUGGACUCCGAAUCUUUGAUUAAGGGUGAAGAGAACUUAUUCAUCCACUACAACCUUUGUUGAUAAAUUUCAUGAUGUUGCUCUGACACUUCUCCGUUUUAAAUUGAAAUGCUCAUACUACUGGACAUGAUUCUCUUCUUGUUAAUAGACUUCAUAAGCUUAUAAGAGGUGAAAAAAGGUUUAUGAGUUUAUCCAAACUUAUUAUCGAAACAAUAUAUAUAAAAUUAAUUCCUAUGUUUGUAUAUUUUAAAAAUAUUGAACCCUCGCCCAGUGAAAAGCCCUCCUCCGCCACUGAUGAGUACUAUAACCAUGGAGGUUGAUUCAAAUACACAUACUUAUAUAGUCCAACAUAUAUGGGUGCUUUGGCACCACUUAGCUAGAGAGUACUAGUUCUUAGCACACCACAAUACACUACUAAAAACAAGUAAAUUGAAAAAAAAAAAUUAGAAACUAGUUAUGGAUUUGUCUCUAAAUAGAAUUUUGGUAGCUAAUUUAUUGCGAAAUUGGUGACAAUUUUUUAUUGUUUAGCAACAGAAUUGCUCAUCACGCGCCAUGGAUGACCGGAGAAGUGUUUCGAGGACUGAAGUGAUGGAAGAUGGUAUCUGGUUAUGUGGAGGCAAGUCACCUGCAAUUGGCUAUUUUUAGUGACUUUAAAUAUAUGUUGCAACCUUUAAAGUUUCUAGCAUUCAACUAAUUGUUGUAAUGUUGAUAUUAUAUUACAACUUAUGCUUUUUCUAUGUUAUCUUUAAAUGUGUGAAAAUUUGAAAUUUGUAUCCGAAUGAACAUAAAAAGAUUAGUAGUUGGUAAUUAGUUUUAUAUUCGUACUUUGAACCUCGCGACAUACAGAAUAUAGAAUGACUUGACGAAUAGGCUUAUCAGAGCUCAUGGUGGAUCGCUAAGAUUUAGUGCAAACAGGAGCAGACCCCGGAUUUAGAAAUUGUGAGUGUCCGGGAGAUUUGAAUACGCAUAUUAAUGUUCUAAGCUUUAGAGCUCCUAAGUUUUAAAAUUUCAUCUAGAAAUUAAAGCACCCAUUUAUUCUUGGUUUAAUGGGUGUUUUUUUAAGUCUUAUCAAUUUUUAUACAUUUUUUAUAUAAUUAUAUCUAAUCUGCAUUAAAUUUAAUGGAUAUCGAAGCAUCCUAAAAUUGACCUUAGAUCCGCCCCUGAGUACAAAUAUCUUGGUCGAUGUAUAGGGUAAAAUCUAUGUAAGGAUACAUCACAUGAUCAAGAAAGACUGCUUGAAGAUUCGGCACAACAAACGAGGGCAGAUACUACGAGAAGCCUCUCUCGAGUUAAUGACAAAGGAAGCGCUUUCUCGUGAAGGAGAAGGACUCGAUUGUUCACUACCCUGGUGACAUAGAGGACAAAUAGGGAAAAAAUGUGUCUGCUCAGGUGCGUGGACGAACUCGUACGGAGUUAAGCAUUGCAGGGUUAAUAGUUGUCUCAUUAACGGAGCAAACACAUGGCGUGUCAGCAUAGGUAUUAGUCCUUUAGGACUCUAUUGUUAAAAUCUAAUUGGUCAAAAUCUGAUGUUGUAACCUAUAUAGCUGCCCC
rnacentral:lncRNA from 1 species